CAGUCGCCACGGUAAUACGGAGGAUCCAAGCGUUAUCCGGAAUCAUUGGGUUUAAAGGGUCCGUAGGCGGUCUUGUAAGUCAGUGGUGAAAGCCCAUCGCUCAACGGUGGAACGGCCAUUGAUACUGCAGGACUUGAAUUAUUGGGAAGUAACUAGAAUAUGUAGUGUAGCGGUGAAAUGCUUAGAGAUUACAUGGAAUACCAAUUGCGAAGGCAGGUUACUACCAAUUGAUUGACGCUGAUGGACGAAAGCGUGGGUAGCGAACAGGAUUAGAUACCCCUGUAGUCCCUGUCUCUUAUAU
rnacentral:rRNA from 1 species